AGUGCUUGGAUUUUUCUUGGCUACACACUGUUAUGACACUAACUGAUCUUUCAGCAAUAAUCAUCUAAAAUAAUUUUUACAUGACUGAUGGGUUCUGUUAAAGAGAACCCAUCAGCCAUGAUAUAAUUGAUAAGCAAUCAUAAACAACUGUCCAUUGUAUUGAUACAGUUAAUCAGCAAUCUUAGAGAUACCGAUUAAAAUUCUUAGGUUAGCAUAUCAUCUAAAUCAAUUGACAGAUUCACCACAAGUCUACAACUGCUUAAAAACUGCAAACACAAAGUACAUUCAGUUGUGUUAUCCCCAAUUAAAAUUAACACUGGAGGCACUGCAUUUCAAAUAAAGUGAUAUCGAAGAUUGGGUAGUUAAAAAUUACACCAUAAUUACAAUAAUGUUGUCUAUAAAAAAGAUAUUCGAUUUUGUUAAUUGCAAUGCAGAAUCUAGGAAUUUUUGCGAAGGUGAGAAAAUUUUAAAUGCAAAACAAGACACUUUAUGUGGUACACAUGAUCCAAAUCUAAAUUUUUGGUCUGUAUAUGCUCUUGCUUUAAAGGCAUCUGCAUUAUCAUCACCUCCAUAUACAAUAAAUGGUAUUGUGGAUAAGAAGACUUUUUAAAUAUUAAAAAGUUUACAUGCAGUUGUCCAGCAGGAGCAUCUGAAUGCUG
rnacentral:lncRNA from 1 species